CCUACGGGAGGCAGCAGUGGGGAAUAUUGGGCAAUGGGCGCAAGCCUUACCCAGCAAUACCGCGUGAGUGAAGAAGGUCUUCGGAGUGUAAAGCCCUGUGAUCAGGGACGAACAUAUGACGGUACCUGAAGAACAAGCCCCGGCUAACUACGUGCCAGCAGCCGCGGUAAAAGGGAGGGGGGGAGCGGUGUACGGAAUGACUGGGGGUAAAGGGUGCGUAGGCCGGAUAAGAAGUUAGAAGGGAAAUACCCAGAGCUUAACUCGGGUGCUGCUUGUAAGACUGUUGGGCUUGAGUGCAGGAGAGGUUAAUGGAAUUCCUAGUGUAGCGGUGGAAUGCGUAGAUAUUAGGAGGAACACCAGAGGCGAAGGCGAUUAACUGGACCGUAACUGACGCUGAGGCACGAAAGUGUGGGUAGCAAACAGGAUUAGAUACCCCAGUAGUC
rnacentral:rRNA from 1 species